AUUACACAUAUUUCAUCCAUUUCAGCAAUCAAAUUCUUUACAAACUUCAGAUACAACUUAUCUACAAAGCAUCUACUCAAGUUGCUGCAGCCUACAAGAUUUAUAAUAAUACAUGAGCAGCAACAUAGAAGACGUUUAACAGUAAACUCUAACUACAUUGAGUAUAAGGUGUUCUUGAGAUCCUGCAAAACCAUUAUAAACCAAAGUACAAAUUUAGAAGUGCGAAUAGAGAAUACUGUAAUAAAUAAUAAGGUUUGCAGCUGACAAUGUUCAGAGCCUGAUAAUUAUUAGGUGUGAGUUGCACUGAUCUGAGCCUUCGAAUCCUGCUUAUUUCUGGCGAAUAGCUAAUCAAUAUUUUGGAAUGUCAUUGUGAACUCUUAUGUAUACGUACAAGGCCAUGCAUAGCUAAUCUAUAUUUUGGAAUGAUUAUAAACAACGACAAUGACACCAGGAAAGCUUAUAGGAGUAUGUAGGGCUGAAUAAAACAGGACACCAUAUCCACAUGACAACACCAGCAAGGCUCACAAGGUAUAUUCAACCAUAUGUCUACCAUAAAGAUGAUUAAGUUUACGGCUGUGACACCAGCUAAGCACUCUGCAUGCAGCUCUGACUACACAAAUUUAGAAAUUGUCUUUCAAACUGUAUUUAACACAAAGGGGCCGCAAUUGGACAGAAUAAGUAUUUUGACCCAUUGCUCAUAAGCCAUAUAUUGCCCAUACCUAUGAAGCAGCACUUAGAUCACAACUCUUCUCCACACUCAACUAGGCUCUCCAACCAAUCACUUCUCUGCAAAAAAUAGUGCAUCACAUUCAACUACAUCAAAAAUUGAUAUUCUACAAGCACAUAAAAUCUGAAAUUUCUUUCACACAAUCAAAUGUUUGAAUUGACGUAUUUAUAGCAGAAAUGUCUAUCAGAAAAUUAUCUAACUGACAGCAAAAAGGCAGAAACUCUGCAUGUUCAGUAAUCAAAACAGAAACAAUUUAUUCAUCUAUGCUUUUGUCAUUUCUUAACCAGCUACUCUACCUCACUAUGGCAAAAUUAUGUCAAAUCAGCACAACAUGACAAAUACUUUCUAAUAUCGUGAUAUGCUCUCAAUCCAUGCAGUGAAAGAUGCGGAACACAUGGAAUAGCAUAGUCUGAUUAAGAAAAAGAUAAGGACAACACACGAUUCAUAUUCACUGCACUGUGAUAAUAAAGAUAUCAUAUAUUAGAAGUUAGUUAUAGUGCAUCCAUGAAAACAUGAUAAGUGCAUAGAAAGGGGAUGAUAUCAACCAUUGAAACAAGUGACAAUAUCCAUUCUGUAAAAAAAAGUUACUAAUGACCUAUUCCAAGAAGCAAGGAAAUUUAAUGACAGACAUUCUAAGUCACAUUUCAAUUAAUAGUAUAAUUUCAAUUUUCAAGCUAAGAGCCGCUGCAGGCUGUAGUUGUGAGUUAUAAUGUAAAUUCCUAUGUACACAAUGGUACAAGUAUGAAAUCCAGCGUUAAUUAGGCACUUGCCAUCUGCAAAACAAAAUUUUGCAACCAUAUUGUACAAGAACCUACACAUGCUCAUUAGUUAGGCACUUGGAUUCUAACAUAGCAGAAAAAGCUUUGCCAUUUGAUCUAUACAUGAACAAACAUCUGACUAAACUCGCCUCAUCAAACCCUUCAAGCAAGGGGGCAUGGGCAAAAGCAGAUUAUCAUCCUAGGACAACAGAUCCAGAGCGCGCAGGGAGGGAGAGGAGACUCACACAUACAACAGUGCUAGUAGACACCUUGAUUUGCUCCCAUCAUAACAGAAACUGCGAUUGAGUAGCAAACUGCAGAACCAUAUUCUUUUUUUUUGUGGCUAGGAGUGAUCUGAAAAUUACCAAGCUCAUGUAUUUAGAAUACACAUAACACGACCAUGAUCAAGAUACCUAAUCAGACUGUUGACACCGUUUUUGGGCACGUGUCUAGGAUGGCAGGAUAAGGUGGCAGUACGAUGUUUACAAAGUGGGUUGCCGAUGAGGAUGGUUGCCGAUGAGGGAGAAGUUGAACGUGACUAAGUCCACAGGCAGUAAUAUGGUGCCGAUGGCUAGAUAAGAAAGUCUGCCGAUGACUAUGGCAAAGGGUCUGCCGAUGAUGCAAAGAGGGAGUCCGGAAGCUGCCGGUCGUUACGUGGAGGAGUUUCGGUUUGUCACGAGGGAUAGUUUUGUUAUUUCCUUAAUUAUCUGCAUCGUUUUGUAUACGGAUUCCGUGUAAUUUGGAAUUCGAAUUCUAAUCAUGUCUGGUUGUAGCUCUUUGAGCAGGGUAUAAAUAUAGACCCUAGGGCCUUGUAAUAAAAAAUCAAUCAAUGAAUCAAACACACGUUUUUACUCAUAUUCCAGCAUUUACUUUUCGACGACUUCGUCAUACUUUUUCCUUUUGUUACGAGUUCUUAGGAAUUCGUCGACUUAAGCUCGGCGUGUUCUCAAGUUCCGCGUGAGUACCUCUUAGCCGUGACAUCCGGGCGCAUCGCUGUUGUCAGGACUAAAGUAUUCGAGUUAUCACCUUUGCCGAUAGCAAGGUCAAAUCGGCUGGCACGCCUUAACGUUUGAAUCGGGUAUUAGCCCUUUGUGUUUGCAGAUCAGUUUUGCAUCAACACAUCUUUUGGCACGCCCAGUGGGACAGGAUUCAAGAUCAAGAUCAACAUGUCGAUCUCUGACCUCGAUCAAGAGAACGUCAUCCCCGUGACGGAGGCCAACCUCAAGGAUGAGCAGAAGCAAGCUAUUGCCCAAGCCAUGGAAGAGUUCAAGCAGCAAUGCCUGAGGUCUUUCAGCAUAAACAGGAGCGGCGAAGUGGUCCAGAAAGAUGCACUGCCGGCACCACGGCAGGUUACCUUUGACGCCAAUCCUGGCAAGCUUCAAGAUAUGGUUGACAAUGCCAUCAAUCGAGCGUUGAUUAACCAAGCUGGUGUACUGUCUAAUACGGUUUUCAAUGCCGUGGCAAGAACUUUCAAGGAAGGACAAAUCCCACCAGAUUAUGUGGGCCCCUCCCAUCAUCAGCCAACGGCACCAGAGGUCACGGCUCCAUCGGCUGCCUUGACGACUGCAAGUGCACAAUCUGCCGUCCCUCCAAGUACAUCGGGGACUACUGGUGCACUAUCUAUGCCGAUGACAACCAACCCACAAAUUUCAGUUGGGCAGCAUAAACUGACAACAGAUAUGUUGGCAUCGGCAAUGUCAGGGUUGACUCUUCCUCCCAACUGGUGGGGUUACGGUAUGCCUCCAGAGUUGACACCGGGAACAUCACAAAUAACUGACAUGAGGGGCAAAACUCCUAUGACAUCGGCACCUCCCAAUGCGCCGGUGAACCAGAGUCCUCGGUAUACCACAACUACUACUGCAAGGCCUCACACUGGAAAUCCUCAAGAUUCAUUGUUCCAGAUGCCCAACGCAUCGGCAGAGUCAAUGCUGAUGCAACAGAGGUCUAGGGCCCAGUCGGGGUAUGUCAAUUCAACGACGGUACCCAAUUACCAAUCAUCGGCAGCACCUAUGCCGAUGAACGCUAAUAAUGGAUGGCUUGGACAGCAAGCCUUUCCACAAUCGCCCCAGCAGAGUUACCAGACUACAGGGUUCCAGCAAGGGCAGGUCUAUCCCGGGUUCCAAGGUCAGGGGAUUCCCAACCAGCCAAUGAAUUUUGGACAGCAACUCGGAGGACAGCCAAUCGGUGGACAGCAGUUUGGUGGUCCGCAGAUUGGAGGACAGGUGAUCAAUACAAUGUUCCGUGCAGAUCACGUCCCGAACAGACACGUGGAGGUUCGCCACCAAGUGCCAGAUCCGCAGCCGCCUCAUCGGCAAGAUGCCGAUGCAUAUUGGGCCGAUAAGAUUGCUGAAGUAAUGAGGGAACAAUUUGGGAUAAAACCCAAAGUCAACACUUACUCUUAUCGGACACCGUAUCCUCCCGCGUAUGAUUUGAUCCCGCUUCCACAUCGGUACAAGGUACCGGAUUUUACAAAGUUUUCCGGGCAGGACGACACGUCAACCAUGGAGCAUGUCAACAGGUUCAUCAUUCAAUGUGGAGAGGCCGGUAACAGGGACGAAUUGAGGGUUCAUCUAUUUUCAUUACCUCCCAACUCAGUAAUUACUUGGGCCGAUCUAGAGAAGCAAUUCCACAAAUACUUCUUCUCGGGGGUUCAUGAGAAGAAGAUCACCGACUUGGUCAAGUUGAGGCAACGUAAUGAUGAGUCGGUUGAGGGUUUUGUGCAGAGGAUACGAGAGGUCAAGAAUAAAUGCUAUAGCUUGGUUCUGGAUGAUCAGCAGCUAGCCGAUUUGGCUUUCCAGGGUUUGUUGCCACAUAUCAGGGAUAAGUAUGCCUCUCAGGAGUUUGAAAGUUUAAGUCAUUUGGUGCAGAGGAUUUCUGAUCAAGACAUCAAGCCUUUCGAGCCUAAAAGAGCAUGGAAUAGGAAAGUGUCAUUUGUCGAUGAAGCAACAAGCUCAGAUUCUGAUGAAGAACCAGUAAUCGGCUUGGCAGAGUGGGUAAAAAACAAGAAGCCGAUGUCUUGUCCUUUUGGGCAGAAGGAACCAGAGAAGUUUGCUUUUGACACCGCUAAGGAUGAUAGGAUAUUUGACUUUCUGCUUCAGGAAGGUCAGAUCAAACUGUCACCUAACCAUGUGAUCCCAUCGGCAGAAGAGUUGAAGAGGAUGAGAUAUUGCAAGUGGCAUAAUGCAACUUCCCAUGACACCAACGAGUGCAAAGUAUUCAGACAGCAGCUGCAAUCGGCUAUAGAGUCAGGGAGAAUCAAGUUUGACAGUUCCAAAGCCCAGAAGCCGAUGAAGAUAGACCAACAUCCUUUCCCGACAAACAUGUUGGAUGCUAAGGGGAAGGCUAAGGUCUUAACAUCGGAGACAGCUGAGAAGAGUGCAUCGGUAGAUCCUCAGCAUCAAGUUACUACUGCCGAUGCAAGAAGUAAGGGCUUGGUCCAGGAAGGAACUAGCUCAGGAAGGCCUCCUCGAUCUGGUGUCGUCAUAACUCAUAGAAGGCCUCGAGGAAAUUGGCAACAACGGGAAGAUCGGUAUCGGCGCCAGCAGGAAGAUUAUCGACGGGAAGAAGAAAGACGCCGACAGGAGUGGAAUCGGCACAGGGAUCAUUGGAAUUGUCCAUUCUUCAUCCAUUGUUGGGAGGAAAAUAUCAAGCUUCCUACUGUCAGAGACUGCCCUGAGUGCAACGGUUAUGAUCGGUACGAUAGGAUCGAUCGGCAUUAUCUUGAUGAUGAACGGCGAUUUAAUGGGCCGAUCAGAGGAAGGGUGUCAGUUCAUGACCGGCUGGGGGGCAGAUUUAGUGGGCACGACAGACUUAGUGACCGUGUCCAGUAUUUUCCCAGGAACCAAGAAGAGCUCGAGGAAAUGGCUGAUGCGCGGGUUCCCGAUGAAUUCAUAUUUUGCAGGGAUGCUAACACGCAUCGUAUGGAGUCAAGGGAGAACCGACGCCCGACGGCAAGGCAAAGGCCACUUCCUCCAUGGUGCCCUGGAGGAUUAACCAAGACACAGAAAAGGAGAUUGCAACGUGAAAGGCAAGAAGAGCUAAACAAGGGAGAGAACUCUGGAAGUCGGCAGCCGUCAGACACUAAGAGGGAAGGUCCAUCGGCAGGCGUCAACAUGGUCUUCAUGUUGCCGAUGGAGUUUCUUGCACCAGCCAGUGAUGAUGAGUUGGAAUUUUCUGAUCAGAUAGCUCAGUUGGCUCUGGAUCCGAUGACGGCUAUCUUUGAGAAACCUGCCGAUGACGAGAGGCAGCAUCUUAAAGCUCUGUUCCUCAAAGGAAGGGUUGAUGGGCAGCCAAUGACCAAGAUCCUAGUUGACGGUGGAGCUGCUAUUAAUAUUAUGCCGUAUGCAGUAUAUCGGAAGCUUGGGAAAGGGGAUCAAGAUUUGACCAAGACCGAUAUGAUGCUCAAAGACUUUGAAGGAAACGUGUCUCCAGUCAAGGGGGCGAUAUGUGCAGAGUUGACCAUCGACAGCAAAACCUUGCCGACAACUUUUUUCGUGAUCAGCGGAAAAGGUGCUUACAACUUAUUAUUGGGAAGAGAUUGGAUUCAUGCCAAUUGUUGUAUCCCAUCUACAAUGCAUCAAUGCUUGGUUCAGUGGGUAGGUGACAAGAUUGAGAUUGUCCCAGGAGAUUCUUCUUAUGUUAUCGCAUCGGCAGAAGCGGAUACUUACGAAAGGACCAGGUGCAUUUCAGGAGAAGUUUGGGAGAAAGAUUUUCUCAAAGUUGCCGAUUAUGAGAUUCCACCGAUCCAAGCAGUCGGUUCUGACGACGGUUUUUAAUGGAUAGAUUCGCCGAUGAUGGAAAAUUAGGCCAGGGAUUCACAUCGGCCGAUGAUUUGGUAGAAGUAGAUAUAGGUAGUGGUGAUAAGCCUAGGCCUACUUUUAUUAGUGCUAAAUUAGAUCCUGAGAGUAAGCAACAAUUGACUAGUUUGUUAAAGGAAUAUAAAGAUUGCUUUGCUUGGGAUUAUACCGAGAUGUCUGGUUUAGACCGAUCAAUUGUUGAACAUCGGUUACCCAUCAAGUCUGGAUUUCGGCCACAUCAGCAACCAGCCCGCCGAUGUAAUCCUAACAUUCUACCUGAUAUUAAGGCCGAAAUCACCAAACUUAUUGAAGCUAAGUUUAUUCGGCAGUGUCGGUAUGCCGAGUGGAUUUCCAAUGUUGUUCCGGUUUACAAGAAGAACGGGAAGCUUCAGGUGUGCAUUGAUUUCAGGAAUCUCAAUAAAGCUACGCCGAUGGAUGGAUACCCAAUGCCUGUCGCCGAUCUACUGGUUGAUGCUGCGGCUGGACAUCAGGUCAUCAGCUUCAUGGAUGGUAAUGCAGGUUACAAUCAAAUAUUCAUGGCGGAGGAGGAUAUUCCAAAAACCGCAUUCAGGUGUCCUGGUCAUGUUGGGCUAUUUGAAUGGAUAGUCAUGACUUUUGGGUUGAAGAAUGCUGGUGCUACUUAUCAAAGGGCUAUGAAUUUUAUAUUUCAUGAGUUCAUCGGCAAGCUCGUGGAGAUUUAUAUUGAUGAUGUGGUGGUUAAGUCUGGAGAUUUCUCAAAGCAUCUUGUCGAUUUACAAAAAGUGUUAGAGUGCACAAGGAAGCAUGGAUUGAAGAUGAAUCCCAACAAGUGUGCAUUUGGUGUAUCGGCAGGGCAGUUUCUUGGUUUCAUGGUACAUCAGAGGGGUAUUGAAAUUAGUCGAAGAUCUAUUGAUGCCAUCAAUAAAAUAGUGGCCCCUACCAACAAAACCGAGCUCCAAUCCUUGAUCGGCAAGGUAAAUUUUAUCAGGAGAUUUAUAUCGAAUUUGUCUGGUAGGAUUCGUGCUUUCAGUCCUCUUCUUAAAUUGAAAGCCGAUCAAGAGUUUAUUUGGGGAGAAGAACAGCAGUUGGCUCUGGAUGAAAUCAAGAAGUAUCUAGUAAAUCCUCCAGUUCUAGUUCCACCUCAACAAGGGAAGCCCUUCAGAUUGUAUUUAUCUAUCGAUGGAUCGGUUAUCGGUUCAGCUUUAGUUCAAGAAUUUGAAGGGAAAGAAAGGGUAAUUUAUUAUUUGAGUAGGAGGUUGAUUGAUGCUGAAACCAGGUAUUCGGCCAUUGAGAAACUAUGCUUAUGCUUAUAUUUUUCAUGUAUCAAGCUGAGACAUUACCUGUUAUCGGCCGAAUGCACUGUUGUUUGCAAAGAUGACGUGGUCCGAUACAUGCUAUCUAUGCCGAUUAUGAGUGGUAGGAUCGGUAAAUGGAUUUUAGCGCUGUCGGAGUUCGAUUUGCGUUACGAAUCGGCUAAGGCAGUCAAAGGGCAGAUUAUGGCCGAUUUUGUGACUCAGCAUUGCGGUCUAGUGGAAACCUUGGAAAUUGUACCUUGGACGCUCUUCUUUGAUGGAUCUACCUGUGACCGGGGGGCAGGAAUCGGCAUUGUAUUAGUUUCCCCUAAGGGGAGGAAGUAUGAGUUUUCCUUGCCGAUUGUUGCCACAUCAACAAAUAAUCAGGCUGAGUAUCAGGCUCUGAUCAAGGGAUUGGAGUUGUUAAGAGAAGUUCGUGCUGAUGCUGUUGAAAUAUUCGGGGAUUCUAUGUUGGUUAUAAAUCAAUUGGCCGGAAGCUAUGAAUGCCGAAGUGAAGUUCUCAUAACUUAUUUCGAGAGAAGUAUGCAACUGUUAAAGGAAUUCAAGGAUUUUCGAUUGGAGCAUGUUCCCCGAUUGCAUAAUGAAAACGCUAAUCGGUUAGCUCAGCAUGCCUCGGGAUAUCAGCCAAUGAUUAAUGCGACAUCGGCAGUCGGUGCCGGUGAUUGGAGGAAAGAAAUUAUUGAUUAUCUAAAAGAUCCAUCCAAAAAAGUUGAAAGACGGGUUCGAUUUCAAGCAACCAAGUAUGUGCUCCUUGAAAAUGAAUUGUAUUAUCGAACUAUCGACGGAAUUCUUCUCCGAUGCUUGGGUGAUGAUGAAGCUAGAAGUUUGAUGGGGGAAAUCCAUGAAGGAGUGUGUGGAGCGCAUCAGUCAGCUUUUAAGAUGAAGUGGAUGAUUCGAAGGAAUGGAUAUUUUUGGCCAACCAUACUUGAAGAUUGUUUUAAAUAUUUCAAGGGAUGUCAAGGUUGUCAAAAGUUUGGUAAUAUCCAGAGAGCACCCGCAUCGGCUAUGAAUCCUAUAAUAAAGCCUUGGCCGUUCCGGGGAUGGGCCAUCGAUCUGAUCGGCCAGAUUUAUCCACCAUCUAGCAAAGGGCAUAAGUUCAUUCUAGUUGCCACUGACUAUUUCACUAAGUGGGUUGAAGCUAUUCCUUUGAAGAAAGUCACAUCGGCCAAUAUGAUUGAUUUUGUGAAGGAGCAUAUUAUUUACCGAUUUGGGAUUCCCCAAACGAUUACUACCGAUCAGGGCACCAUGUUCACAUCGGGGGAGUUCGAUGAAUUCGCAAUCGGUAUGGGAAUUAAAGUGUUGAAUUCUUCUCCUUAUUAUGCCCAAGCCAAUGGGCAGGCCGAAGCGUCUAACAAAGGAAUUAUCAAGCUUAUUAAACGAAAGAUUGAAGAAAAUCCUAAGCGGUGGCAUACAUUAUUAAAUGAAGCAUUGUGGUCUUAUCGGAUGGCUUGUCAUGGAUCGACCAAAGUAUCACCCUAUCAAUUGGUGUAUGGACAUGAUGCAGUGUUGCCUUGGGAAAUUAAGGCUGGAUCUAGGCGAUUAUCUUUUCAAGAUCAAUUAACUUCCGAUGGUUAUGCCACUUUGAUGACCGAUGAAUUGGACGAUCUAGCAGGGCAUCGGUUAAAAGCUUUAAUGAGUAUAGAAGAAAAUAAGAAGAGAGUUGCUAGAUGGUAUGAUAAGAAAGUGAAGGCUAAAGAGUUUGCCGAUGGGGAUUUGGUAUGGAAAUUAAUUUUACCAAUUGGGACCAAAAGUUCGAAGUUUGGAAAGUGGUCUCCUAAUUGGGAGGGUCCUUAUCGGAUAAGUCGAUCGGCUCCUGGUAAUGCCUACAUUCUAGAAACCCUCGAAGGAAUUGAAUUUCCCAGAGCAUUAAACAGCAAAUAUUUAAAGAAGUACUACCCCAGUAUAUGGGUCGAUGCAUAGAAGUUUAGGUGCCGAUAACACUCCUAUCGGCUGGAUCCAAAUGCUUGGGGACAAGACUUGGUGUUUCAAAAGUUUAGGUGCCGAUAACAGUCCUAUCGGCUAGACUAAAAGCUGAGGAAGCAGGAAAGCGCAGAUAUAAUGCCGAUGGAAACUCUAUGUGUUAAGCAGCGUCUGGAUUGCCGAUAUAGCGCGUAGCCGAAUUUGGUUGGCUGCUUCUAUCUCCUUGAUGUCAUCAUCGGCAGAACCUUCUAUCGGCUUCAGCUUCUUCUUCAGUUGAAGUGCCUUGCGACCAUGAGCAUUUCGCUCGUGCUCAAGAAGCCUGAUGGUCUCUGGCAAUUGGCUCUCUUCCUGUUGGGCUUGGGACAGAGCGUUCUCUACUUCCUUGAGCUCCGCCAACAGGGAUUCUUUUCUUGCCGAUAGAUCGGAUAUCUUCUGCUUCAGCGCGUCUCCAGAAGAUCUCAGGAUACCGAUGUUCUUGUGCUUCUCAUCGGUCAAAAGCUUCUCUUUCCUCAUUUCAUCGGAGAGUUGAGUCUGAGCGGCUCUAUCGGCAAGCCGCCGAGAAGCUCUCUGGUACUGCAGCUGGCGACUCUCCAGAUGAGCGGCUUGGAACAGGAUUUCUUCAACAUCGGCUGGGAUUUGGCCUCUGAGAGUUCUGAACAGGGUCUUGGUAGGGUCAGAAUCAUCAACCGAUUGCGCUGUGUCCUGGUGAAGGAGAGCUGACAAUUCUUCCAGCCUGACCCUGAUCUCUGCCGAUGUGAUGCCGACCGUCUGAGAAGAGCUUGCUUCUUCACCUUCUUCUUCAGAGAGAUCGAUGGCGAAGGAGAACAGGCUAUCGGGAGAAUCUUGUUCCUGGGAGGGAAAGCAAAAUUAGCUCAUACUCAGAGAAUCGGCAAAUAGUGCUAACGGUAAACGGUGACUUACUUGCUUCAAGGCGAUCUCUUGUCUUUGACUGAGAAGUGCUGCCGGAGCUGCAGGCUGAUCGGCCAAAGAUGCCGAUGGAGCUACAGGUUGAUCGGCUGAGAUUGCUGAUGGAACGAUAUCAACUGAAAGAAGACAAAAGGAGUUAUGAGACUAAAUAAGAAUAAGUUCAUCGGUAGCGAUAUUGUUAAAGUAUGUUACCUGGAGGAGGGACAACGGUUGUCUGAACCGGGAGAACUGCCGAUGGUAUAACUGGACCCACCGGGCCAGUUGUUUGUUCACCCAUGUCAGCUGAUGUAUCUUCUGUUUGAGAUCCUUCCUGUUGGGGUUCUUCUAUCUGUGGUGCUUCCUGCAUAGGUGGGGGAGAUGGUGCUUGCUGUGGCUGGGCUUCUGGAGAAGAAGGAGAAGACUCCACCGGAAUUGGAGAUACCGGAGGAGGAGGGGGAGUUGCUACCUUCUGGCGCUUUGUUCCAGUCUUAGCACCCGUGGUGCCCUUUCUCUUGGGUUGGCUAGACUGGGGGGCAUCGGUACUCUCACACCUGGCUUUCGCCGAUGCGCCGGUUUGCUGCAAUAAUGAACAAGAGUUUAUAAGCAUAAAUAUAGCCGAUAUAAAGAUAGUCAGCAUAAAGGAAAAGAUUUGACAAAUUGCCUUGAAAGCCCGUGCAAGAGUGGGAGCAGCAACCGUUGGUGAUGUCUGGGUUCUUCUGGUGGUGACUUUCCUGAGGCGUACACCCCGAUGCACGAUGGAAGCUAGAGUGGGAGCAUUGUGGCCGAUUGAGGAAAUCGGGCCUGAUGGAAACAAGUCGAUCGGCCUGCCACUCCUGCUAACCAAUGGAGGAAUAUUGUCAACCUGCAAAAGGAAUACAAGGGUAAGCUGCCGAUGGAGGUAAUAUUGAGAAAAUGAAACAUUGGUUUGAGUUACUUACAGUAUCAUCGGGAACUUCGUAUUCGGAGUCAAUCAUGCCGCGGUAUGAAAGUGCCGAUCUGCAGAAUAGAUGCUCUUUCCAUUCUGCCCACCAUAACUUGUAUGCCUGAGUGAUAAAAGCAGCCGGAACCCAUUCUGACAGAUCUACAUCUAUAUCGGCGUUUGGUGGUAGUUGGGCUGCUCGAGUCCACUCAAGAAGGUUGUUGAUAGUUUCUCUGGGUUUUAUCACAUCGGCAUAAGGAAGUGCAAUCGGCAACUGGCCGAAAGCUAACUGGCGAGCAAAUGCCGAUGGAUUGUAAAAUUCGUAAGUUUGAGGGGAGGUUUUUGUGCUACCAAAGAAAUUCACUGGAAUGAUUCUGGGAGUCACAAUUGCCAUCAUCGCCUCAUUGUCCCUGUCGAGAGCUUCAUCAAAUGGAUUGAAGGUCAGAGGGAGCAUGCUAUCUGGGUCAUCAUAAGCCAACCAUGGUCGUUCGUCUCUGGUCAAACCCUCAUACAGAGUCUGGAAGAAUCGGCCGAUCUGAUCUGGAUUACCCCCUGAACCAGGCAGAACUAUGACAGCUUCGCCAAAGUUCAAGGGGGCGCGUGUUGCCGAUUCCUCUUCACCCAAUACAUGGUUUUCAGCUAUAUCUCUUGGGAAACGUUGUGUGAACAGGUUGAAGUUGAGACGCUUGUGCAGAUGCAGAUUGAGCCACAUGUUGACAAACCACCAGGGGCCUCCCAAGUUGCCAGUGGAUUGGCCGAGCAGAAGUUUCUGGGCUACUUGAUGGAGAAGGUGAUAAGCAGCGCCAAGCAAGUAUCGGCCGAGAGGGAAUUCUCCACCGUUAGCCAGUCUUUCUGCUGCCGAUAGGUAGACAGAAGUCGGUCCUGCCGAUCGACCACAGAAUACAAACUUGUCCAGCCACAUGUUCAGAAAGGUGGUUUGUUCCUUUAUGGUGACAGAUCCUUUCCCACGGUACUUCUGAAUGUACCCCGACCAACCGCCGAUAGCGCGAGUCUCCACUUUGGCACUAGGGGCAGUAUCAAAAAAGUGGGUGCUAUCGGCAGAAGAUAUAUCUAGACCAGUAAGCAUGGCUACAUCGGCAAGAGUAUGAGAAGCAGGGCCGUGGCCAAAGGCAAAAGCAUUGAGGGUGUCUGACCAAAAGUAGGAUGCAGCUAUCAGCAGUGACUCGUUCCUAUGCAUAUCGGCAAUGGACAAUCUAAUGCAUUGGGCUAGAUUCCUUUCACCCCACUGAACUUUAUUAGAGUUGCUGACCCUUAAGAACCAGUCUUUCCACCCUACAGUUGGGCUGGGCCAAGAGCGGAAGGUGUCCUUCCACAGAUCUAAGGAAAAAUUUUUGGCUCUGAAGGGGAUCCUGUUGGUUUCUGCGUUGAUAAGGUCAGUUGGAUCUGGGUCCCCUAGAGGGCCGAGGCAUUGAAGGUGUGGUUGAUCGGUGGGGAUGACAAUUUUGUUGGACAAUUCCUAGUGAUUUUGGGCGUAAAAAGAAAUACAAAGAGGAAAGAAAAGGAAGAUGUUCAGUAAAAUGAAUUGCGAGUGAACAGGGAUAUGAAGAAAAAUACAGAAGACGGGGUGGAGAUUUGACCUCAGGGACGACGAACCCGACGACCAUCUUGCUGCGAAGGAAGCGUUUGAAGGCGCCGGAGUUGGUGAAGAGGGGUACUUGUCGGAGACCUUGGGAGUUUUUGGUGGCGCCGCCGCUGGAAAAGUAAAGUUGGGUAGUAGAAUGGUGUGAUGGGGAAGGAGUACCCAAGAAGGAACUAUUUAUAGGACAAAAUGGGCAAGGGCAAAUCCGACUUAUCUCUUUGCCGUAUCCGAGAAAUCCGAGGGUACUCAGGUGGAUAUGGUAACUGUUCGCACGGUAAUCCAGGGAUUGUGCAGGUGAUUUGACGGGAAGCGGUCAUUAUCUGAAGAUAUUUUACUGUGCGAGAUCUCCUGGUCGGUCCAUCGGCAAUAUUCUAUAACGGUCAUAUUGCCGAUGGGCGGAUAGAGGGGAAGUAACCGUUUGUGCGAAUAUCCUGGUCAGAACAUCGGCAGAUCUUUGUAACGGUAUUGUUGCCGAUGUACGGCUGAGAAAAAUGCCCGUUUAGGAAGUUGGGGAUUUCGAGAAAUCUGCGGAGGAAUAGGAUCAGAGUUGUUCAGAUUGAGGUUGUCGGUUACCAGAUUAGGAGCAUUAAUUGCGGGAAAAGGCAUCAUUACUGCAGAGAAUUUCGGAGCAUUAAUAGUUUUAUACUCUGAAACUGGGGGGCAUGUGUUGACACCGUUUUUGGGCACGUGUCUACGAUGGCAGGAUAAGGUGGCAGUACGAUGUUUACAAAGUGGGUUGCUGAUGAGGAUGGUUGCCGAUGAGGGAGAAGUUGAACGUGACUAAGUCCACAGGCAGUAAUAUGGUGCCGAUGGCUAGAUAAGAAAGUCUGCCGAUGACUAUGGCAAAGGGUCUGCCGAUGAUGCAAAGAGGGAGUCCGGAAGCUGCCGGUCGUUAUGUGGAGGAGUUUCGGUUUGUCACGAGGGAUAGUUUUGUUAUUUCCUUAAUUAUUUGCAUCGUUUUGUAUACGGAUUCCGUGUAAUUUGGAAUUCGAAUUCUAAUCGUGUCUGGUUGUAGCUCUUUGAGCAGGGUAUAAAUAUAGACCCUAGGGCCUUGUAAUAAAAAAUCAAUCAAUGAAUCAAACACACAUUUUUACUCAUAUUCCAGCAUUUACUUUUUGACGACUUCGUCAUACUUUUUCCUUUUGUUACGAGUUCUUAGGAAUUCGUCGACUUAAGCUCGGCGUGUUCUCAAGUUCCGCGUGAGUACCUCUUAGCCGUGACAUCCGGGCGCAUCGCUGUUGUCAGGACUAAAGUAUUCGAGUUAUCACCUUUGCCGAUAGCAAGGUCAAAUCGGCUGGCACGCCUUAACGUUUGAAUCGGGUAUUAGCCCUUUGUGUUUGCAGAUCAGUUUUGCAUCAACACAGACUAACCCACAAUAGCAAGCCAAGCCAACUACCAGCACCCAACAAAAAAACAAAGAUCAUACCUUUUCAGAACCACACUCUGCAACAAAUGGCAUGCAUGUUGUCUUCCUCUAUUGGUCCACAUUUGCAGUUAGUUUAGCAAUCUCACAAGCAACAUCCACAUUCUGAAACACUCAAUCAUCAAAAUGUAAGGACAGACUAUUGGGUUUGCUACUAUGGUAUGCAAAAUAGGAUUUUACAUAAAUUUGACAACUUAAUUUAGAGUAUUUCAAGCCACGCAAGAUAAUACCUUAGCAAUGAAAUACACAAACCAUCUCCAAUCACAACUAUGCCUAAAUAUAUGACAUUGACUAUCAAACAAAACAAUUUCUCAUCUUUAGCACUACUGUAGGUAGCAAUAGCUCGUCUCCUACAUUACAUUAUCCUAGGUUGUACACAAAUCGGAAUGAAGGAGAGGAAGGCCUCACCUUGAUGGGGACGUGAGUAUCCUUGUAGGGGCGGUGCUGGUGGCCUAGCACAGAUCGAUGACGAACGGUGGUUCGGGUUCGGGGUCGAACACUCGAACUGCGUGAUCUCAACGAGGGUGUACGCGACGCGAGCCCGCCUGCGCCUUCGCCCUUCGCCCUUCGAGCUCCGCGCCCAGUCGCGCACCACUGUACGCGGCGCUCAGCGCUCGAGCCGAGCACCGGAGGCGGCGAAGAUGCGGACGAAGAUGACGCUGUCGAUCCCCG
rnacentral:lncRNA from 1 species